rnacentral:rRNA from 1 species
CCUACGGGUGGCAGCAGUGGGGAAUAUUGGGCAAUGGGGGCAACCCUGAUCCAGCAACGCCGCGUGAUUGAAGAAGGCCUUCGGGUUGUAAAGAUCUUUAGUUGGGGACGAAAAAAAUGACGGUACCCAAAGACUAAGCUCCGGCUAACUACGUGACAGCAGCCGCGUUAAUACGUAGGGGGCACGCGUUAUCCGGAGUUACUGGGUGUAAAGGGCGCGUAGGCGGGCUGGCAAGUUGGGAGUGAAAUCCCGGGGCUUAACCCCGGAACUGCUUUUAAAACUGCUGGGCUGGAGUGAGGGAGAGGCAGGAGGAAUUCCGGGUGUAGCGGUGAAAUGCGUAGAUAUACGGAGGAACACCAGUGGCGAAGGCGGCCUGCUGGACAUUAACUGACGCUGAGGAGCGAAAGCGUGGGGAGCAAACAGGAUUAGAUACCCGGGUAGUC